GGUGGCUCAGUGAUAGAGCACAUGCCUUGCAUACAUGAGGCCCUGGGUUCGAUUCCUCAGUACCA
rnacentral:tRNA from 1 species